GCCGCGGUAGCCCAGGUAGCAGUGGCGUCACCGGUACAGGUGGCGAAAGUCGCAGGUUCAAAUCCUGCCUGCGGUA